rnacentral:misc_RNA from 1 species
GACAAAAACCAAUUCCAUCGCAUGGAACCCAAUGGAGCCAAUGAACUUCACAGCUGCAAAUGAGGAUUGCAACUGCUAUAGUUAUGAUGCUAGGAAAUUAGAUGAAGCCAAAUGUGUACACAAAGAUCAUGUUUCUGCAGUGAUGGAUAUUGACUUCUCGCCUACAGGUCGAGAAUUUGUAACAGGAUCAUAUGAUAGAACAGUUAGAAUUUUCCAGUACAAUGGUGGGCACAGCCGGGAAAUCUAUCAUACAAAAAGAAUGCAAAGGGUAUUUUGUGUCAAGUUCAGUUGUGAUGCUAGUUAUAUUAUUUCUGGAAGUGAUGACACCAACCUUAGGCUAUGGAAAGCUAAAGCAUCAGAGCAAUUGGGAGUGCUACUUCCAAGGGAAAGAAAAAGGCAUGAAUAUCAUGAAGCUGUCAAGAAUCGCUAUAAGCACCUUCCUGAGGUUAAGCGAAUUGUAAGGCAUAGACACUUGCCGAAACCCAUAUACAAAGCUGCUUCUCUUAGACGUACAAUGACUGAAGCUGAAAGGAGGAAAGAAGAAAGAAGGAAAGC